rnacentral:piRNA from 1 species
UUGAUGAGUGGAAGUUUUAAA